GUGGGUGUAGCUCAGUGGCAGAGCACUGGAUUGUGGCUCCGGGUGUCGCGGGUUCAAUUCCCGUCACUCACCCCA
rnacentral:tRNA from 1 species